GCCUAUUUACCCUUAACUCAAUAUCCUCAAAAUAAUGGGAACAAAAAGUUAGAGCUUCUUCAACCAUGUAACUUCAGCUAUGGAACCUUCAGCCCGCGACUUGUUCCCCACAAAAGAAUUGAAAUGACCUAUCAUUCUAACAAAAGAUAGAAUAACAUUAGAACAAGCAUUUACUUUUAAUCACUAUUAAAAGAUCAAUUUAAAGAGUUUGUAAAUAAUAAAUUUUUUAUCUUUCAACAAAAUACAUCCAACGAUAAUGUAUCGGACCACCAUGUAUUACUUGAUCCACUAGAUGGACAACUAAAUAAACCAUUACAGGGAAAAGAGAUUGAGGGAAUAGCAUCUCCAAAUGGCAAAUUGUAAGAACAAUCCUCUCUGGUAGCUUAUCCAAGUUUGAGAAGCUUAAGGUUUUCAUACAGAGAAGUCUAAAGAAGGACGAAAGCUCUACCAAAACUGCAACAACAUGAUUUGGAAUCACAUUGCUAAUUGCUACAGGUAAUAAUUGUUCCAUAAUGAUGUGACAAUCAUGACUUUUUAAUCCGAAUAUUCUCUUCUGUUCCAGAUCAAUACAAGAGAAAUAUUACUUGAAUAACCAUUUGGCACUAAGAUAUCCUUAAGAGUUUUGAGAAAGAUAGCUCUUUUUUGGUGGGGAUUGUAAAUGCAGCAAGUCGACAUUUUUCAUUCUCAUCAGGCCAAAGAUCAGGUCUUAUAUCCAUAUCUUGUAGGUUUUUUCGAGCUUUUACAUGAUCUUUUGAUUUUCCUAUUUCAUUUAUCAUUGAGUACAAAACAUUUUCAAACACAUUCUUUUCAAUGUGCAUAACAUCCAAAUUAUUGGACAACGGGUUGAAUCCCCAAUAUGGAAGCUUGAAGAAUAUGUUUUUCUUUUUCCAUUGUUGAGUUGAAUUUUUCCCAUGACUUCUUUCUCUUUUUCUUUUCCUUUUAUCAUUCAAUUUCACUAGUUUUCCAAAUGUAAUAUCAAUAUCUCUCACUUGUUGUACAAUAUCUGACCCACAUAACUUUUUUGAUGGAUUCCUCUCCUCCACAUCUCUAAAAAAAAUGAUGCCUCAUCAAUCUAAAUUUAUGAUUUCUUAUCAAAAAUCGAUGAUGACCAAUAAAAUACCAUUUUCUACUAUGUCAAAGUCGACAAGGUUCGGCGUCAAAAUUACAAGAAGGACAGGCUAAACCAGUAUGCAUGCUCCACUAGAUAAAAUAUCAAGUUCAGGAAAGUCACUUACUGUCCACAUAAGAGCUUCCCUCAUUCUAAACAUUUCAUUCUUUGAUGAAUCAAAUAUUUCCAGACCUUCAUACCAUAAUUCAUUCAACUCCUUGAUAGGGGAUACAGAUAUCCAUCUAUGUUAUUACCGACUGUACGCGGACCUGAAAUGAUCAUUGAGAGGAUGAAAUUUGACUGCUUCAUACACAACCAAGGGGGAAGGUUAUAUGGAACCAAAAUGACUGGUCAAAUGCUAUAAGAAGUACUCAUCGUCCCAAAUGGAUUGAAACCAUCACUAACUAGGCCUAAUCAAACAUUUUGAAAAUCAGAAGCAAAUUCAGGAAAGUUCUAUCGAAUCUUUUCCAUGCCUUACCAUCUCUAGGAUGCCUCAAAAUUCCAUUAUUUUUAACAUCCUCGCCAUACCAUCUCAUGUGCUCAGCAAUCUUGGAGCACAUGAACAAUCUUUGUAACCUUGAUUUUAAUGGAAAGUAACGCAAAAUUUUUGUAGAUUUCUUCUUUUGCUUCUUACUUAUACCAGGUGCAUGAUCUUUAUCAUUCUACUUUGUAGGUUUCCAUCUAGAAGUUGACAAUGUUUGCAUCUUUCAUCAUUAGCAUCAUCUCCCCAAUAUAACAUGCAGUCAUUUGGGCAGGCAUCUAUCUUUAUAUAAUCAAGACACAAUUUCUUAAUGGUUUUCUUGGCAUCAUAAAAAUAAAUAGGGAGCUUUACAAAAUGAAAUGCAUCUCUCAGUAGAUGUAGGAUCAUUGCCAUUCCCUUGUCACUUAAUCCACCAAAACACUUAAUAUGAUACAAUUUCAACAAAAAUUCUAACUUAGAGUACUUAGAUCCGUCAUAUAAUUCUUGACUUCCAUCUCUAAGCAACUCAAGAAAGUCUGUGUUAUUCGAAGAAGGCAUGUCAUUUGACAUUCCUUCUUUUCCCGCUACUUGUAAAGGACCUGCUUCCAUCCCCUCAUGCCUUAAGCCCUAAAAUGUUUCAUUAAUAAAUAAUUCUACGGGAUUGUUAGGAGGCAGUAUAUCUUGAGUAACCUCUAUAUUGGGAGAAUUAUUCAACACAUUACUUUCUCCAUGUACAACCCAAGUGAUAUAAUUUUGAGGAAAUUGCUUGCAGAUUAAAUGGGCGUGAACUAUAUCUCUACUUUGCCACUUUGUAAAAUAGCAUAGACGACAUGGAUAUUUAAUUUUAUCUCCUAUGGCUGCAUUCAUAAAUGUAAAGUCCAGAAAUUGAGUCAAACCACGCUUAUAUUCAAAUAUGUUCCGGGGAUUUUCAAUCCAAGAUUUAUCCAUCUAAAUAUGUUAAGAACUAAUAUACAACAUAAUUAAGAGUGCAAAUGAUAAAGCAAAGUCAGAUUAUCAAAGAGCUAAAGUAUGUUAUUUCAAAACUAAUUAUGAAAUAUACAUAUAGAGAUUGCACUUGAGACAAAGAACUAGAACCUUCUGCAAUAAAUUUAGUAUGAUAGCAUGAUAGCAUGAACUUGAGUUAAUUUCCAUCUGCCAGGGUCUAUUGAUCAUGUCCUGUUGUCUUAUAUUUUUUUAUUUUUGUAAUAUAACUACAACCUAUAUGGGUAAGAAUAGCAUGAUAGCAUGAACUUGGAGUAACGUAAUAGCUGUUGUUCGCAGUCUCAAUCAAAUCCGUUCUGAAGUUGGGCUAGUUCACAUGUUAAAGCAAUCUGCAACAAAGGAAAAAGCUCUCCAGAAUUGACGGCAUAAUCUCGUGGUUCUACUUAAACUGAAUCUAAUUCCCUUUCCAUAACAAAGAAAUACUCAUGACUCUCCAAAUAGAAGGAAAAUAAAACAGGGGGGGGGGGGGGAAUAGAAGCAUGAACAUAAAAAUUUCUAUUUACAUGAUUCCUGUCAUCAACUAAGAGGGUGCCUAAGAAUGUGAACUAGCAAUUAGUGAAACUGCAAUGUAUACCAUGAGUAACCAAGGGUUGGAUACAAGAAGCAACAAAACAAAGGUUUAUAUCGUCCUGAGGGUAACCCGGUACAGUAAGUUGAUAUGUAAAUUGAUGGGAGGAUGCAUGUACCCAAUGAAAAUAUGAGGUGCCACUCUAACCUGGACUCCGCUGUUAAAACUAGGAGACGGAAGGCUAAGGCAUCAAUGUUCUUAUGGAAACGUCAUAGAAGAAAAAAGAUUUGGUGAAGGAUACGGUUUAACCAACCAAAUACUUAUUAAAGAUCAAGUAAUGAAGCCUUAACCCGAUAUAAGAGGUUACAAUUAAUCUAUGAAGCAUAUCUCCAGAUAUGAAUGAGGAGGAGAAAUACGGGGAGCUCAAAGGAUAUGAUUAAAGAUUCAAACAAGCACUAAUGCAUAUUUCAAAAGCUCUAAAAAAAGACUACAUUGUAACUGAAAUGGAAACUGUAACCUCUUAUGACAAGAAUCUGACAGUCACACGGCCAAUUGAAUGCAUAAAUACACACUUGAAAAAAGAAAGAUUCAACCAAAAUGAAAUCUGGAACCUCCUAUAUCCACUCUGCCUAAACUUCACAUUAUCUCCCUAAAACUACUAAGAUUCACACUGGUAUCCUCCUUCAGGAGAAGCUUAAAAAAGAUUAACAAACUCAAUAUUAACAACAACCCCAAAAAAUAAAGAUUCCCCCCCCCCCUUUUAUUGCACCUAAAUCAUCUUCACCACCAAAUAGAAUAUGAACAGCAAAACAAAUCAUCUUUAUAACAUUUGCAACAAUAAUACCCGGUGAAAUCCCACUAGCGGUGUCUGACAAGGGUAGAGUGUACGUAGACAUUACCCCUAACUCACAAUAUCCUUACAACAUUGCAUAUUAGUAAAAUCUUUGCCACAAACUGAAGAUUAACAAUAACCCCAUCAGUUAAAGAUUCCAUUUUUAACCCCCUUUUUUGCAAUUAAAUCAUCUUCACCAUCAAAUACAAACAACAAAACAAACAAGAGAGUAUUCUUUUUACAUAGUUGAUACCUCAAACAAGAGAGUGACGUCACUGUUGACUAUUGCUGUCGCCGGAGAGCUACAGUCGUCACCACUCUUAUGUGGUUGUCGCCGGAUCGUUGACGGGCAUAUUAUUGAAGAAAGGAAUGAGGGCUUUUGAGAUCUUUUGAGGUGGAAAAAUUAAU
rnacentral:lncRNA from 1 species